GACGUAGGGCGCGAGCGUUGUCCGGAUUUAUUGGGCGUAAAGAGCUCGUAGGCGGCUUGUCGCGUCGUCUGUGAAAUCCCGCGGCUCAACUGCGGGCUGGCAGUCGAUACGGGCAGGCUGGAGUUCGGUAGGGGAGACUGGAAUUCCUGGUGUAGCGGUGAAAUGCGCAGAUAUCAGGAGGAACACCGGUGGCGAAGGCGGGUCCCUGGGCCGAUACUGACGCUGAGGAGCGAAAGCGUGGGGAGCGAACAGG
rnacentral:rRNA from 1 species